AUUGAACGCUGGCGGCAGGCCUAACACAUGCAAGUCGAGCGGAGCGGCGGACGGGUGAGUAAUGCCUAGGAAUCUGCCUGGUAGUGGGGGAUAACGUCCGGCAACGGGCGCUAAUACCGCAUACUAUCAGAUGAGCCUAGGUGGGAUUAGCUAGUUGGUGGGGUAAAGGCCUACCAAGGCGACGAUCCGGAACGGGUCUGAGAGGAUGAUCAGUAACACUGGAACUGAGAAACGGUCCAGACUCCUACGGGAGGCAGCAGUGGGUAAUAUUGGACAAUGGGCGCAAGCCUGAUGCAGCCAUGCCGCGUGUAUGAAGAAGGCCUUCGGGUUGUAAAGUACGUUCAGCGGGGAGGCGUUACCCGCAGAAGAAGCACCGGCUAACUCCGUGCCAGCAGCCGCGGUAAUUC
rnacentral:rRNA from 1 species